rnacentral:rRNA from 1 species
UACGGAGGAUCCGAGCGUUAUCCGGAUUCAUUGGGUUUAAAGGGUGCGCAGGCGGAAUUGCAAGUCCGUGGUGAAAGACUCCGGCUCAACCGGGGCAGUGCCGCGGAAACUGCAGUCCUUGAGUGGUGACGACGGGGGCGGAAUGCAGCGUGUAGCGGUGAAAUGCAUAGAUACGCUGCAGAACGCCGAUUGCGAAGGCAGCCCCCGAGGGACCAACUGACGCUGAGGCACGAAGGCAUGGGGAUCGAAC